UAGGCCGAUCAUCAAGAACCGAAGAGCUUCUUCUUCUGGGAAGUUCAGAUUAAGAGUAUUGUCUACCACCUUUAUAAGUUUGUUGUCCUUGUAGGCUUGCCAUGCCUGAAGAUAUUCACACACAGAAAACACUUCAGACAAGGUAAUGUUCACCAAGUUCCAAGUCAAAAUCCACAGCUGAUCGUCCGCUGAUAAUUUCCAACAGCAGCACUCCAAAACUGUAAACAUCCGAUUUUCGUGUCAAAUGUCCUGUAAUGGCGUAUUCUGGAGCAAGGUAUCCUCUUUUUUUUUGGCAUUUGUGAGUCCAAGAAACCUCAUUAGCUAUUGUAUUUUUCUUAGUUAACAGUAUAUAUGUAUAUGUAUAAACAAUAAAGCAGAAUCCACUUACAGUGUGCCUGC